UACAGAGGUCUCAAGCGUUUGUUCGGAUUCAUUGGGCGUAAAGGGUGUGUAGGUGGCGCCGUAAGUCGGGUGUGAAAUUUCGGAGCUUAACUCCGAAACUGCAUUCGAUACUGCCGUGCUUGAGGACUGGAGAGGAGACUGGAAUUUACGGUGUAGCGGUGGAAUGCGCAGAUAUCAGGAGGAACACCGGUGGCGAAGGCGGGUCUCUGGGCAGUAACUGACGCUGAGGAGCGAAAGCGUGGGGAGCGAACGGG
rnacentral:rRNA from 1 species